rnacentral:rRNA from 1 species
GACGAACGCUGGCGGCGUGCUUAACACAUGCAAGUCGAACGUAAAGGCCCUGCUUUUGUUGGGUUCUCGAGUGGCGAACGGGUGAGUAACACGUGAGUAACCUGCCCUUGACUUUGUGAUAACUUCAGUAAACUGGGUCUCAUACCGGAUAGGAGCUCCUGCUGCAUGGUGGGGGUUGGAAAGUUUCAGCGGUUGGGGAUGUACUCGCGGCUUAUCAGCUUGUUGGUGGGGUAGUGGCUUACCAAGGCUUUGACGGGUAGCCGGCCUGAGAGGGUGAACGGAGACAAGGCGACUAAGAUACGCCCCAGAAAGCUACGGGAGGCAAGAGGAGGGAAUAUUACGGAAAAAACGGGAGACAGAAACAGAAACGCGGGGAGAGGGAAAAUGGAUUACGGGGUAUAAACCGAUGUCGAAAGAAAUGAAGCGAGAGUGACGGUAAAGGGUAAGAAAGCAACGGCUAACUACGUG